rnacentral:rRNA from 1 species
ACGGGAGGCAGCAGUGGGGAAUAUUGGGCAAUGGGCGAAAGCCUGACCCAGCAACGCCGCGUGAAGGACGAGGGUUUUCGGAUUGUAAACUUCUUUGACUGAGGACGAAGGAAGACGGUACUCAGAAAACAAGCCACGGCUAACUACGUGCCAGCAGCCGCGGUAAUACGUAGGUGGCGAGCGUUGUCCGGAUUUACUGAGUGUAAAGGGCGUGUAGGCGGGGGAUCAAGUCAGAUGUGAAAUACCGUAGCUUAACUACGGGGCUGCAUUUGAAACUGAACUUCUUGAGUGAUGGAGAGGUAAGCGGAAUUCCUAGUGUAGCGGUAAAAUGCGUAGAUAUUAGGAGGAACACCGGUGGCGAAGGCGGCUUACUGGACAUUAACUGACGCUGAGGCGCGAAAGCGUGGGGAGCAAACAGGAUUAGAUACCCUGGUA